UUUAAACUUCUGCACCUAAAAUUAUAUCUUAAUCCAACAUCGAGGUCGCAAUCAAUUUUAUCAAUAAGAACUCUCCAAAAUUAUUACGCUGUUAUCCCUAAAGUAACUUAUUUUAUUAAUCAUUAAUAAUGGAUCAUUAAUUCAUAAAUUAAUGUUUAAAAAUUUUUAAAAGUUAUAUAAAUUUUAAUAUCACCCCAAUAAAAUAAAUAUUUUAUUAAUAAAAUUUAUAAAUCAAUAAAUUUAUAAUAAAAUUAUUAUAAAGAUUUAUAGGGUCUUCUCGUCUUUUAAAAACAUUUUAGCUUUUUGACUAAAAUAUAAAAUUCAAAUAUAAUAUUUAGAUGAAACAGUUAAUAUUUCGUCCAACCAUUCAUUCCAGCUUUCAAUUAAAAAACUAUUGAUUAUGCUACCUUUGCACAGUUAAUAUACUGCGGCCAUUUAAAUUUUCAGUGGGCAGGUUAGACUUUAAAAUAAACUCAAAAAGACAUGUUUUU
rnacentral:rRNA from 2 species